GAUGAACGCUGACAGAAUGCUUAACACAUGCAAGUCAACUUGAAUUUGGGUUUUUAACUUAGAUUUGGGUGGCGGACGGGUGAGUAACGCGUAAAGAACUUGCCUCACAGCUAGGGACAACAUUUAGAAAUGAAUGCUAAUACCUAAUAUUAUGAUAAUAGGGCAUCCUAUAAUUAUGAAAGCUAUAUGCGCUGUGAGAGAGCUUUGCGUCCCAUUAGCUAGUUGGAGAGGUAACGGCUCACCAAGGCGAUGAUGGGUAGCCGGCCUGAGAGGGUGAUCGGCCACAAGGGGACUGAGACACGGCCCUUACUCCUACGGGAGGCAGCAGUGGGGAAUAUUGGACAAUGGACCAAGAGUCUGAUCCAGCAAUUCUGUGUGCACGAUGACGUUUUUCGGAAUGUAAAGUGCUUUCAGUUGGGAAGAAAAAAAUGACGGUACCAACAGAAGAAGUGACGGCUAAAUACGUGCCAGCAGCCGCGGUAAUACGUAUGUCACAAGCGUUAUCCGGAUUUAUUGGGCGUAAAGCGCGUCUAGGUGGUUAUGUAAGUCUGAUGUGAAAAUGCAGGGCUCAACUCUGUAUUGCGUUGGAAACUGUGUAACUAGAGUACUGGAGAGGUAAGCGGAACUACAAGUGUAGAGGUGAAAUUCGUAGAUAUUUGUAGGAAUGCCGAUGGGGAAGCCAGCUUACUGGACAGAUACUGACGCUGAAGCGCGAAAGCGUGGGUAGCAAACAGG
rnacentral:rRNA from 1 species